GCAUUCUUUAUUACUUCAUCACACAAAUGAGGGGAUAACUUCCAAGGUAGCCUGGAAGGGGUGGGGGAUGAGGGAAACAACGGGUGAGGUUGUUUCAGGGGCACGCCCUAGAAUGGCAUGCAGUUCAUCAUUUCUGCAGGAUCUGAAACACUGGUACU